rfam:Triticum aestivum genome assembly, contig: Triticum_aestivum_CS42_TGACv1_scaffold_288266_4AL
AAAGUACUCCCUCAGUCCCAAAAUUCUUGUCUUAAAUUUGUCUAGAUACGGAUGUAUUUAAUAGUAAAACAUGACUUGAUACAUCCAUAUUUAGACAAAUCUAGGACAAGAAUUUUGGGAUGGAGGGAGUAUUAC